rnacentral:pre_miRNA from 1 species
ACAAUUUGGAGAACACUUUAUAAAUAUUCGACAUAAGGCUUAUAGGCCUGUAGUUUUCUAUAAUGUUCCUAUCCCCUUUUUUGUGUAAUAGUAUAAUUGUGCUCUUGGUC